rnacentral:rRNA from 1 species
AUUGAACGCUGGCGGCAGGCCCAACACAUGCAAGUCGAGCGGUAGCACAGAGAGCUUGCUCUCGGGUGACGAGCGGCGGACGGGUGAGUAAUGUCUGGGAAACUGCCUGAUGGAGGGGGAUAACUACUGGAAACGGUAGCUAAUACCGCAUAGUGUCGCAAGACCAAAGUGGGGGACCUUCGGGCCUCAUGCCAUCAGAUGUGCCCAGAUGGGAUUAGCUAGUAGGUGGGGUGACGGCUCACCUAGGCGACGAUCCCUAGCUGGUCUGAGAGGAUGACCAGCCACACUGGAACUGCGACACGGUCCAGACUCCUACGGGAGGCAGCAGUGGGGAAUAUUGCACAAUGGGCGCAAGCCUGAUGCAGCCAUGCCGCGUGUGUGAAGAAGGCCUUCGGGUUGUAAAGCACUUUCAGCGGGGAGGAAGGCGUUAAGGUUAAUAAUCUUGGCGAUUGACGUUACCCGCAGAAGAAGCACCGGCUAACUCCGUGCCAGCCGCCGCGGUAA